rnacentral:rRNA from 1 species
UACGUAGGGACCAAGCGUUGUUCGGAUUUACUGGGCGUAAAGGGUGCGUAGGCGGCAAUUCAAGUCAGUUGUGAAAUCUCCGAGCUUAACUCGGAACGGUCAACUGAUACUGUUUUGCUAGAGUACAGAAGGGGCAAUCGGAAUUCUUGGUGUAGCGGUGAAAUGCGUAGAUAUCAAGAGGAACACCUGAGGUGAAGACGGGUUGCUGGGCUGAUACUGACGCUGAGGCGCGAAAGCUAGGGGAGCAAACGGG